CCAAUAGCGUAUAUUAAAGUUGUUGCAGUUAAAAAGCUCGUAGUUGAAUUUCGGGGUUAGUAGGUCGGUCAUGCCUCAGGUAUGCACUGGUCUCACUGAUUCCUCCUUCCUGAUGAGCCGUAAUGCCAUUAAUUUGGUGUUGCGGGGAAUCUGGACUGUUACUUUGAAAAAAUUAGAGUGUUUAAAGCAGGCUAACGCUUGAAUACAUUAGCAUGGAAUAAUGGAAUAGGACGUUCGAUCCUAUUUUGUUGGUUUCUAGGAUUGACGUAAUGAUUAAUAGGGAUAGUUGGGGGCAUUAGUAUUCAAUUGUCAGAGGUGAAAUUCUUGGAUUUAUUGAAGACUAACUACUGCGAAAGCAUUUGCCAAGGAUGUUUUCAUUAAUCAAGAACGAAAGUUAGGGGAUCGAAGACGAUCAGAUACCGUCGUAGUCUUAACCAUAAACUAUGCCGACUAGGGAUCGGAUGAUGUUAAUUUUUUAAUGACUCAUUCGGCGCCUUACG
rnacentral:rRNA from 1 species